rnacentral:rRNA from 1 species
GACGAACGCUGGCGGCGUGCUUAACACAUGCCAGUCGAACGGAAAGGCCCUGCUUUUGUGGGGUGCUCGAGUGGCGAACGGGUGAGUAACACGUGAGUAACCUGCCCUUGACUUUGGGAUAACUUCAGGAAACUGGGGCUAAUACCGGAUAGGAGCUCCUGCUGCAUGGUGGGGGUUGGAAAGUUUCGGCGGUUGGGGAUGGACUCGCGGCUUAUCAGCUUGUUGGUGGGGUAGUGGCUUACCAAGGCUUUGACGGGUAGCCGGCCUGAGAGGGUGACCGGCCACAUUUGGACUGAGAUACGGCCCAGACUCCUACGGGAGGCAGCAGUGGGGAAUAUUGCACAAUGGGCGGAAGCCUGAUGCAGCAACGCCGCGUGCGGGAUGACGGCCUUCGGGUUGUAAACCGCUUUCGCCUGUGACGAAGCGUGAGUGACGGUAAUGGGUAAAGAAGCACCGGCUAACUACGUG